UACGUAGGGUGCAAGCGUUAUCCGGAAUUAUUGGGCGUAAAGAGCUCGUAGGCGGUUUGUCGCGUCUGCUGUGAAAACUGGAGGCUCAACCUCCAGCCUGCAGUGGGUACGGGCAGACUAGAGUGCGGUAGGGGAGAUUGGAAUUCCUGGUGUAGCGGUGGAAUGCGCAGAUAUCAGGAAGAACACCUAUGGCGAAGGCAGCACUCUGGGACGGUACUGACGCUGAGACGCGAAAGCGUGGGGAGCGAACAGG
rnacentral:rRNA from 1 species